rnacentral:lncRNA from 1 species
GUUUUUGACUGUUUAAAAUAGUUUCCAAGGAAAUUUUUGGAUUUCUGAAUUAUGUUUAGUUAUUUGGGCAGCAUUCAUGUUCAAAUGUUGGCAACCAACCAAAAAUUGGUUUUACUGCAUAUAAAAUUUGUGUAAAAUCAUAAAUAUAUAACAUACUAGACAUGUGUUCUUUAUAGAAACAGUUUUUGAGGAAUCAUAGGUUUGGAAUUUACAAGAGCAAAUUCUGAAGGAGAUAUAAUUACAGAAGCAUUUUCACUGAUAGCUAAGCAGAGGUUAUAACUCACUGAAGAUGGGACUGCUUUAUAUUUCAUAGUACUGUUAUUUAAAGGGAAAACAGAAUUUUAAAAAUCCCUUCAAAUGUUUCACUUCUUGCUACUGGGAGAAAUUCAAGUUCUUGGUUAACUAAGUAAUGCUAACUAAAUUCUAUGUUUUUAUGCAUUGAUCCUAUUAAUGAUGAAAUAAAGCUUUCUGGUGGUAGGAAUUCAGGAACUCUGGAAAGUCAUUUUUAUCUUUUUCAAAUGCUUAAAGAGUUUAGAUAACUAAAGCAGUAGAAUUCAAGAGGUUAUACGGAAAUAAAAUUAUUUUUGCUGUGUUAAAUGC